ensembl:lncRNA
GGUUAUUUCUUCUUUAAUCCAGACUGUUUCCAACACGUAACAUACUUUUUCUCAUGCCAUCGCAGGAAGUGCCAGAUGCUAAAAUAUUCGAGGUGACUCCGAGUGGUUAUUCACAGGGUUCAACCAACACGCUUUAAACCAUUUCCCCUAGUUAAGAGACAGAAAGCUGUCCUGCACUAAUUGUCCCCACAAAUAAAUACAGCUUCAUAAAACCUGUGCCGGUUCUGAAAAAAUGAAAGGCUCUGUGGAAACGUCCCUGUCAGAACAGAGAGCUCCCUUCUAUCUGAUCUCCAAAGCCCAUAGCAGCUACCCAGUCAGUUCUGUCCCAAAAGUGAAAGAUGAAAUAUGUCAGUGCACAGCCACUUGGGCUGGCUGUUCACCCAACAUACUCCUAUUGCUCUGAGGGGGCACAGUGGUAUCAGUCCACCCCCGCUAUUCUGGCUCAUUUGUAAACCCUAAGAGGCAUGUCUUUACAUGCAACUGCUUGCACAGACAACUUCCCUUUUCAGCACGGCACCCUACCCCACGGCCAUAAUAAAAUGUAAAUUACGUGCCACACACCUCUCUGACGUGCCCUAUGUAUUAUAAACUUAUUCUGCAGCACAGGCUUUCUGGUCAACCCCUCAUGUGUAGAAUGCUAUAGCAAUGGAGUUUUCUGGCUGUAUAAAGGGGAAAAAAACACCUUCAACUUCUGCAAGCAGCUGCUACAUUUAAUUUUCUUUUAUUUAGGGACAUCAAUUUUGUUAUGACCUUUUAUCUUUUGGUUUGCUUUUUUUUUUGCCAAAAAAAGUAUUAGCAGCAUUGCCAAUCCCAAGCACUCAAAAAUCAUGAAACAGGUCCAAAAAAACAGGCUGGCUUAAUGACAAUCAGAUUAAAGAAAUACAAUAAAAAUGUAUGUUCUUUUUAUUGGCAGUACGAUUGUUGAGCCCUGAGACUUGGUUCUUUCAAGGUAUUCCCCCCAGCCAAACAAGAAGGAGAAGUGAGGAAGAGGAGAAGGAGCUGAGCGUGCUACUCCAUCCUGUCUGGUUCCAGAACUCGGGGGAAAAAAGUCAGAAGAACUGAAAACAUUCCUGAAACUGGAGUAAAAGACACUCGGGCACAUCACUAGUGGCCAGUUACCCUGGGAAGUAUCCUCACGCCAGGCAAAGUUCAGUGCUUGAGAGGAAAUGGGGACACCGAAAACUCAAACGAGCUGCAAGCAACAAGAACUGCUAAAAAUGUUCACAAAAGCACGGGAGGAUUUAUACAAUUAUACCCAUGGUAAUAACCAGCAAAAGAUCAGAGACUGUAAACUUUUCCGUUCGUGCUACAAUCUUUUAGUAACUGCAUAUACUCCGACCUGAGGUGAACAUAAAACCACUCAUCUGGAACCCACUGUCCUGUCAGUCACCCAACUGAGUCACCAGAGCUCGUGGCAUUUCUAUGAUGAGUAUCUCCAGGACCUUUACUGCCAGGCAAGGGAAGUACAGACGUUUUGCAGGUAGAUAACGGCACGGACUCCAUUCAGGUGCCCGUGCUGACCAGACCCCGCGGCAGACAGCACAUGCUUGUUAGACAGAAGAAAAGGGCAUUGCUUUCUUACCUCACUGACAGCGCAUCUCUGUAUGGCGAAGACGACGGCGAAGGUGGUCACUGUCCUGCAGGUGUCAACGAUAAAUUCACAGCUUGUAUUGCUCGCCCGUCUGGCUCGGCCUGCGGCGUGACUGUCGAUCCCAAAGUUGAGGAGGCACUUACUGUAAAGUGUCAGUGGAGAGCGCUCUGGGGACAGCAGCAGGCCCGGAUGUCUGGACGAACGUGCCACUCAGCAACGAGAUGGUGCAUCUACAGCCAUGUGGCAGACAGCAAAAAUAUCCUCACCCAGCUAAUGCAAGGUUCAUUGAUUUAAUGAAAGGAACCAUGGGAGAGAGGCAGAGGCUGGAGACAGCUGGAAAUCAAGUGGAGGCCCCGCAGAAGUUGCCACCCCAUCCUCUGCAUUCUGUUCUGCAGACGCGGCAUUCUCCCGCCUGCCACCUUUUUUUAUUCCAGUUGUACUCCUGUUACCUCAGGAGAAAGGAAUCUUUCCUUCUCAAACCUCCACCUUGCCAAGAGGUGUGGCACACGCCGUGGAAGAGAAGCCACAUUCAUGCUGAAGCAAGCUUUGGGCAACUUUCCCUUCUGCGGCAGGCUCGU